UCUUUCAUCCUUUCAGGCUUGAUAAAUUAAGUACCAGUGAAACACUGGGGUCAAUGGAAUUGACUAGCCCUCUCACCUAAAAUUUCAAGCCUUGUGCCUAUAUUAGAAAGGAU